rnacentral:rRNA from 1 species
AUGGCGCGGUGCUUGGUCUUCAUGGUGUUCCAGAUAUACUGCCUCAUCUCGACCGUGGGCCUGCCGCUGGAGCCCGCGGAGCUGCUGCAGCUGGGCGGCGACGUGGGCGGCGGCCGCCUCAGCACCGACCCGGCCGACGUCCUGGAGGCGUCCCGCGACUUCGGCGGGUUCACCCGGGGCGAGCCGUUGGCGGUGUACCACCCGAGCGGGGCCGGCGACGUCGCGGCGCUGGUCCGGGCGGCGUACGGGUCUGCCCGCGACAUCCGCGUGUCGGCGCGCGGCCACGGGCAUUCCAUCAGAGGGCAGGCGCAGGUGGCCGGCGGGGUGGUGGUGGACAUGAGCCGCGGGGGCAAGGCGCCGUCGCGCGCAUUGCCGGUGUACUCGCCGGAGCUGGGCGGGCACUACGUGGACGUGUGGGGCGGCGAACUGUGGAUCGACGUGCUCAACUGGACGCUCUCGCACGGCGGGCUGGCGCCGCGGUCCUGGACGGACUACCUCUACCUGUCCGUGGGCGGCACCCUCUCCAACGCCGGCAUCAGCGGCCAGGCGUUCCACCACGGGCCCCAGAUCAGCAAUGUCUACGAGCUCGACGUCGUAACCGGGAAGGGCGAGGCGGUGACCUGCUCGGAGGCGAAGAACCCGGAGCUCUUCUUCGGCGCGCUGGGCGGGCUGGGGCAGCUCGGGAUCAUCACGCGCGCUCGCAUCGCCCUCGAGCCUGCUCCCCGCAAGGUUCGCUGGAUCCGGGCGCUCUACUCCAACUUCACCGAGUUCACGGCGGACCAAGAGCGGCUCAUCUCCCAGUCGCAGCACGGCGGCGGCCGCCGGUUCGACUACGUGGAGGGCUUCGUGGUCGCCGCCGAGGGCCUCAUCAACAACUGGAGGUCCUCCUUCUUCUCGCCGCAGAACCCAGUGAAGCUCAGCUCGCUCAAGCACCACACCGGCGUGCUCUACUGCCUGGAGGUCACCAAGAACUACGACGACUCAACCGCCGCCACCGUUGAUCAGGAGGUUGACGCGCUGCUGGGCGACCUGAACUUCCUCCCGGGCACGGUGUUCACGACGGACCUGGCGUACGUGGACUUCCUGGACCGGGUGCACACGGCGGAGCUGAAGCUGCGCGGCAAGGGCAUGUGGGAGGUGCCGCACCCGUGGCUGAACCUGUUCGUGCCGGCGUCGCGCAUCGCCGACUUCGACCGCGGCGUCUUCCGCGGCAUCCUCGGCAGCCGCACCUCCGGCGGGCCCAUCCUCAUCUACCCCAUGAACAAGCACAAAUGGGACCCGAGGAGCUCGGUGGUGACGCCGGACGAGGAGGUGUUCUACCUGGUGGCGUUCCUGCGGUCGGCGCUGCCGGGCGCGCCGCAGAGCCUCGAGGCGCUGGCGCGGCAGAACCGGGAGAUCCUCGACUUCUGCGCCGAGGCCGGGAUCGGGGCCAGGCAGUACCUGCCCAACCACAAGUCACAGCCCGAGUGGGAGGCCCAUUUCGGGGAGGAGAGGUGGGCGCGGUUCGCGGGCCUCAAGGCCCAGUUCGACCCGAGGGCCAUGCUGGCCACCGGGCAGGGCAUCUUCCCGCCGCCGGCGCUCCUGUCCGAUUUUUGA